GACGAACGCUGGCGGCGCGCUUAACACAUGCAAGUCGAGCGAGAACCAGUCCAUCGGGACUGGGGACAGCGGCGAACGGGUGAGUAACACGUGGGUAAUCUGCCCUCGGCACCGGAAUAGCCCGGGGAAACCCGGAUUAAUGCCGGAUGGCCUCUCUGCCCCUCGGGGCGGCGAGAAAAGGUAGCUUCGGCCGCCGGCCGAGGAUGAGCCCGCGGCCGAUUAGCUUGUUGGUGGGGUAACGGCUCACCAAGGCGACGAUCGGUAGCUGGUCUGAGAGGACGAUCAGCCACACUGGGACUGAGACACGGCCCAGACUCCUACGGGAGGCAGCAGUGGGGAAUCUUGCGCAAUGGGCGAAAGCCUGACGCAGCGACGCCGCGUGCGGGAAGAAGGCCUUCGGGUUGUAAACCGCUUUCAGGAGGGACGAAGCCACUCGGGUGAAUAGCCUAGAGGGUGACGGUACCUCCAGAAGAAGCCCCGGCUAACUACGUGCCAGCCGCCGCCGUAACAC
rnacentral:rRNA from 1 species